rnacentral:rRNA from 1 species
UUUCAGCAGUGAGGAAGGGUAUCGUAGUUAAUAGCUGCGGUAUUUGACGUUAGCUGCAGAAGAAGCACCGGCUAACUCCGUGCCAGCAGCCGCGGUAAUACGGAGGGUGCGAGCGUUAAUCGGAAUUACUGGGCGUAAAGCGCAUGCAGGUGGUUUGUUUAAGUUCAGAUGUGAAAGACCCGGGGCGUCAACCUCGGAAUUGCAUUUGAAACUAGGCAGACUAGAGUACUGUAGAGGGGGGUAGGAAUUUCAGGUGUAGCGGUGAAAUGCGUAGAGAUCUGAAGGAAUACCGGUGGCGAAGGCGGCCCCCUCGGACAGAUACUGACACUCAGAUGCGAAAGCGUGGGGAGCAAACAGGAUUAGAUACCCCUGGUAG